GUCUUUGAACGCAAGUUGCGCCCGAAGCCUUUAGGCUGAGGGCACGUCUGCCUGGGUGUCACGUACCGUUGCCCCCCCAAAAUAUACUCGUUGCUCAAGCGAGCAUUGGAUAGGGGGCGGAUAUUGGCCUCCCGUGUGAGUCUUUUCUCGUGGUUGGCCGAAAUUUAGGUCCUCGAAAGCGGACUCUGCGACGUUCGGUGGUGGAAUGUAAAGGAAACCCUCGAGCUCCCGUUGCUGCGGCGCUAUCGAUCAUAGGAUCAUUUGACCCUACGGAAGCCUCGUCAUUGAGGUGUACACGCAUCGCGACCCCAGGUCAGGCGGGAUCACCCGCUGAGUUUAAGCAUAUCAAUAAGCGGAGGAAAAGAAACUUACCAGGAUUCCCCUAGUAACGGCGAGCGAACCGGGAAGAGCCC
rnacentral:rRNA from 1 species